GCCAGGCAUGGUGGGCGUGCCUGUAAUCCCAGCUACUUGGGAGGCCGAGGCAGGAGAAUUGCUCGAACCCAGGAGGCAGAGGUUGCAGUGAGCCAAGAUCGUGCCACUGCACUCCAGCCUGGGUGACAGAGUAAGACUCUGUCUCAA
rnacentral:SRP_RNA from 1 species